CCCCAUUCCACUCAUCAACUCGGGAACGGCUAAUACUAGAUUCCCCUUAUUACGUUUUCGUAGCGCUUUGCAUUGUGGUUAUAGUGGUAUCACUGAUAAAGAUAGCGGCCUCGAAUGAAAAUAUUGAAUGUUUUCGCGAAUAUUUUGCAGUUGGCUAUCGCGCACCUGACCCUAGCUUUUUUUAAAAGGUUCUUGCACUGGUCAGGACAAAAAAUAAGCCAUCUUGAAUAUCAGUGAUACCACUAUAACCACAAUGCAAAGCGCUACGAAAACGUAAUAAG